AAUCCCAUUAUAGUACCUUCCACUCGCAUUACCAUGAAUGGACGGCUAUGCUAAUGGGAUAGAAAAACACUGUCAUGGUCUGAGGGUGUGGUUAACUCACCGUGUACCCCGCUAAAUAAAAUGACAGAAUACAUGUGC